ACUGUAAUGAAAAGCAAAAUGUCAUGUCUGUCCUAACAGUGCAGAAUUUAACAAGUUAGUGUCCUCCUCCACCCUUUGAGUACAUGACCUGUAGAUGUAGGAGAAAUAGGCCACCUCACUGGCUGUCACCACCCCGUAGAAGAACUGCAUGGCCUGCAUGGCGGGUACACUGUACAUCCAGCGUAGCAUCGCUGUGGUGACGAAGAGGCUGACGCACUGGAAAACCACCACAGGCUUGUAGCGCAGCCAGUCCGUCAGCAGGAACACCGGCACCAGCACAGACAGAUUCUUGUCCGGUCCUGUCAGGUAUGGGAUGAGGAAAGGCUCCAGGGGUUUAACUGUGCUGAAGAAUCCAUAUAUGCACAGCAGAGUUGUGGGAUACCUCCAGUCUUCCCUCAACUUCUUGACUGCCUCCAUCUUCAGCUCUGCUACUUCUUUCAGGACCAAAUGGAAGAGAACAAGACUAUAACAGUUUGUUGACCUUGCUCAGAAGUGUUCAGCAGAGAUCACCUCCACCCUUGGCUCUUCGUUGGUAUCUGUGGGCUCUGGAUUACGUUGAAAUGUGCAGGCAGUGUAG